rnacentral:rRNA from 1 species
AGACUGCGUUUGAAACUGAUUAUCUUGAGUGUAACAGAGGAGAGUGGAAUUCCUAGUGUAGUGGUGAAAUACGUAGAUAUUAGGAAGAACACCAGUGGCGAAGGCGACUCUCUGGGUUAACACUGACGCUGAGGUACGAGAGCUGGGGGAGCGAACGGGAUUAGAUACCCCGGUAGUCCCAGCCGUAAACGAUGGAUACUAGGUGUUGGAGGUUCGAAUCCUUCAGUGCCGGAGUUAACGCAUUAAGUAUCCCGCCUGGGGAUUACGAUCGCAAGAUUGAAACUCAAAGGAAUUGACGGGGGCCCGCACAAGCGGUGGAGCAUGUGGUUUAAUUCGAAGCAACGCGAAGAACCUUACCGAGAAUUGACAUCCCGUGACCAUCUAUGAAAGUAGA